AUAUGUAAUACAUUGAUGUACUUUAGACACAUUUAAAAAAAAUAUAAUUUUCUAAAUGGUUUCGUACACUUCUAAGUUGUAGAAGCUAUUUAAUUAAAUUUAACAGUGUAUAUCUAUAUAUUUUUUUUCUUUUAUAAAGUGAUCAAAGAAUUUUCUAAUUAUUACAUGCAAAUGAGGAAAGAUAUGGCUCUAACUCAAACUUUUUUAUAUACUUUGAUCGUAUUUAUUUGCCUUUUUGUUAUGAGCAACGCUGCUAAAGAUUAUAUCAUCUGCGAGACAGACGACAAUUGUCCAAUACCAAUGUGCAUUCCCCCAACACUUCCCAAGUGCAUUGAUAAGAAAUGUAUGUGCAAUUAUUGAAAACAUAAUCAUAUGUUAUUUGUAAUAAUAUAAUUUUCUUUGUACGACAUUAUGUUUGUACUCUCAUAGUAUCUUACUUUUGUUUAUGUUUAUUUGAUAUUUCAAUUUCUUUGAUAAGAUCAAAUGUCUAUUGGCUCCUUUGAUGAAUAAAGAUAAUUUAUAAUUGUGUA